rnacentral:rRNA from 1 species
GAUCAUUACAGAGUUCUGGGUCCUUCGGGGCCCGUCCUCCAACCCCUUGUAUACCUACCUCGUUGCUUUGGCGGACCGUCGCGCCGAGAGGCGCGCGUCCGGCCCCCCCUAACCCGGGGGCUGGGGAGCGUCCGCCGGAGGAAUUUCAAACUCUUGUUUGUAACAAUGCAGUCUGAUCGAAUAUCAAAUAUUCUAAAACUUUCAACAACGGAUCUCUUGGUUCUGGCAUCGAUGAAGAACGCAGCGAAAUGCGAUAAGUAAUGUGAAUUGCAGAAUUCAGUGAAUCAUCGAAUCUUUGAACGCACAUUGCGCCCCUUGGCAUUCCGAGGGGCAUGCCUGUUCGAGCGUCAUUACAACCCUCAAGCUCUGCUUGGUAUUGGGCUUCGUCCUCAUCGGACGUGCCUCAAAGGCCUCGGCGGUGGCGUCUUGCCCUCAAGCGUAGUAAAACUUUCUCGCUUUGGAGGUCGGGGCGCCCCCCGCCGGACGAACCUUUUUACUUCUAUCAAGGUUGACCUCGGAUCAGGUAGGGAUACCCGCUGAACUUAAGCAUAUCAAUAAGCGGAGGAAAAGAAACCAACAGGGAUUGCCUCAGUAACGGCGAGUGAAGCGGCAACAGCUCAAAUUUGAAAUCUGGCCCUUCCAGGGUCCGAGUUGUAAUUUGUAGAGGAUGUUUCGGCGAGUGCUCCCGUCUAAGUUCCUUGGAACAGGACGUCAUAGAGGGUGAGAAUCCCGUAUGUGAUGGGUUGCGCGAGCCAUGUGAAACUCCUUCGACGAGUCGAGUUGUUUGGGAAUGCAGCUCUAAAUGGGAGGUAAAUUUCUUCUAAAGCUAAAUACCGGCCAGAGACCGAUAGCGCACAAGUAGAGUGAUCGAAAGAUGAAAAGCACUUUGGAAAGAGAGUUAAAAAGUACGUGAAAUUGUUGAAAGGGAAGCGCUUGCAACCAGACUUGCUCGCAGUUGCUCAACCCGCCUCCUGGUGGGUGUACUCUUCUGCGGUCAGGCCAGCAUCAGUUCGAGCGGUCGGAUAAAGGCGCCGGGAAUGUAGCUCCUCUCGGGGAGUGUUAUAGCCCGGCGUGGAAUGCGACCUGCUCGGACUGAGGAUCUCGCU